CCACGGCCUCGCGAACGGAUCCGGCGCGGAUCGCCCCCUGCGCGACCAGGGCGUCCGCCUUGGCCGGCGAGCGGUUCCACACCGUCGUCGCGUG
rnacentral:tRNA from 1 species